ensembl:snoRNA
UUAGCCCUUCCGCAGGUCCUCCCCUAAGCAGGAGGCCAGGAUUUGGUAGCUGGUGCUGAGAGAAAACCUUGAUUUCGUCCUUGCCCUGGAACUAUGCCAGUGGCAGCUGUCACUGUCAGUGGGACAGAC